rnacentral:rRNA from 1 species
GAGUUUGAUCCUGGCUCAGGAUGAACGCUAGCGGCAGGCCUAACACAUGCAAGUCGAGGGGUAACAGGAAAAAGCUUGCUUUUUUGCUGACGACCGGCGCACGGGUGCGUAACGCGUAUAGAACCUACCUUUUACAGGGGGAUAGCCUUUAGAAAUGAAGAUUAAUACCCCAUGGUAUUAUUGAGUUGCAUGACUUAAUAAUUAAAGAUUUAUCGGUAAAAGAUGGCUAUGCGUCCUAUUAGCUAGAUGGUGUGGUAACGGCACACCAUGGCAACGAUAGGUAGGGGCCCUGAGAGGGGGAUCCCCCACACUGGUACUGAGACACGGACCAGACUCCUACGGGAGGCAGCAGUGAGGAAUAUUGGGCAAUGGAGGCAACUCUGACCCAGCCAUGCCGCGUGUAGGAAGACUGCCCUAUGGGUUGUAAACUACUUUUAUACAGGAAGAAACACCUCUACGUGUAGAGGCUUGACGGUACUGUAAGAAUAAGCAUCGGCUAACUCCGUGCCAGCAGCCGCGGUAAUACGGAGGAUGCAAGCGUUAUCCGGAAUCAUUGGGUUUAAAGGGUCCGUAUGUGGAUUAAUAAGUCAGAGGUGAAAUCCUGCAGCUCAACUGUAGAACUGCCUUUGAUACUGUUAAUCUUGAG